rnacentral:lncRNA from 1 species
GGGAGAGCGAGCGAGCUCAGGCACCAGGUGGCCCAGAGCUAAUCCCGUAAAUGCCCGAACAGCUGCCCAGCGCCAUUUAAAGAGACAGGGCUUCGCCGCUGCGCCGCGCGACAACGGGCCCUGACCUCAGCGAGGGCCUCCUGCAACUGCCUAGGCCGGCUUCUAACAAAAUAAUAGGAGCCUCCUCCUUCAGCUCUGCCCGGAGGGAAGAUGGCCCUCGUGCAGCCAGAGUCCUUUCCUUUCCUGUGAGGAAUCCUAGCUGGGGCUGGCACCCACGUACUUAAUGUAUAGGGGACACAAAAAAGAAUGCAAAUCAGAAGGAAGAGAGUAGGCAGAGCAGGAAGAGCGAGGCAAG